rnacentral:lncRNA from 1 species
GUGGAAUCCAAGAUGAGCAGGUGCCACUUCAGGGCCAAGUUGCUCAGGUCCCACGUGGCUAUUUCAUCACAAAAGAACACGAGAGAAACAGAAUCAAAAGAAAUUUAAAAGCAAAGAGAGCAUUUCUUCAUUUGCAAUUUUCAAAGGGACAGAAUUUGAAGGUACUCCAGGAGAUGAGUUUAAAACUUGACCCGGACUUGUUGAAAGAGCAAAGUGAAGGCAAGUGAAGGCAAAGAACAAAGUGAAGGGAUCCAAAGAUGGAAAAGAGGAAUUUUUAGAAAAAACUCCAAUUUAGGAGGUGAGAAUUUUAUUCCACGGAUAAAGCAG